GGGGAAAUAAGGGGGUUAUAGGGUAAUGGGGGGGUAAUGGGGGAAACGGGGUUAUGGGGGAAAUGGGGUUAUGGGGAGGUUAUGGGGCGGACGUGGGGGUUAUGAGGGGAAAUGGGGUUAUAUGGACCAUUUUGGGAUCCUUGAGGCCAUUUUGGGGCCAUUUGGGGUCAUUUUGGUGCAGUUCUGGUCACUCACCUGCUUGUUGCAGUGCUCAGAUUCCUCAAAACCCCAUUUCUGAAAUCCCACCUCCCAUUCUGGGGCCAUUUUGGAGCCAUCUGGGGCCAUUUUGGGCCAUUUUGGUGCCGUUUGGUGCCAUUUUGGGGUCGUUUUGGGGCCGUUGUGGUCGCUCACCUGCUUGUUGCAGUGCUCAGAAUCCUCAAAACNNNNNNUCCCACCUCCCAUUCUGGGGCCAUUUUGGGCCAUUUUGGAGCCAUUUCGGGGCCAUUUGGUGCCAUUUUGGGCCAUUUUGGUGCCGUCUGGUGCCAUUUUGGUGCCAUUUUGGGCCAUUUUGGUGCCAUUUGGGGUCAUUUUGGGGCCGUUGUGGUCGCUCACCUGCUUGUUGUAGUGCUCAGAAUCCUCAAAACCCCAUUUCUCAAAUCCCAGCUCCCAUUCUGGGGCCAUUUUGGUGCCAUUUUGGACCAUUUUGGUGCCAUUUGGUGCCAUUUUGGGGCCAUUUUGGUGCCAUUUUGGGCCAUUUUGGUGCCAUUUUGGGCCGUUUUGGGGUCGUUUUGGGGCCGUUGUGGUCGCUCACCUGCUUGCUGUAAUGCUCCGAAUCCUCUAAACCCCAUUUCUCAAAUCCCACCUCCCAUUUUGGUGCCAUCUGGGGCCAUUUUGGAGCCAUUUUGGUGCCGUUUGGUGCCAUUUGGUGCCGUUUGGUGCCAUUUUGGGCCAUUUUGGUGCCAUUUUGGGCCAUUUUGGGGCCAUUUUGGUGCCAUUUGGGGCCGUUUUGGGGCCGUUUGGUCGCUCACCUGCUUGUUGUAGUGCUCAGAAUCCUCUAAACCCCAUUUCUCAAAUCCCACCUCCCAUUCUGGGGCCAUUUUGGGCCAUUUUGGAGCCAUCUGGGGCCAUUUUGGGGCCGUUUGGUGCCAUUUUGGUGCCAUUUUGGGCCAUUUCCGUGCCAUUUUGGGCCAUUUUGGUGCCAUUUUGGGGCCGUUUGGUCGCUCACCUGCUUGCUGUAAUGCUCCGAAUCCUCUAAACCCCAUUUCUCAAAUCCCACCUCCCAUUU
rnacentral:lncRNA from 1 species